CCAUUUGGAUUGAAUCAGUGAUUGUGUUAUUAUCGGUCUAGUUUCACACAUUUUCCCUCGUGAGAGGAGAGUUUUCAAGCCAUCGGGGGGAACAAAAUGUUUAUCACGAAUGUGUAUCGGCGAGUAAUAAACUAUGCAUUUGAAAUUAAGUCCAUACCUGGUUGUAUAAGAGGUUGACUUCUGCAGUGAACAACUGCAGUGAGUUGUUCAGGCACCAGAGUGUGAUGACUUCUUCCAACAAAUCCGAAUAAUUUUCUCAUAAUUCGCCUUCUGCAGGGAAGUUCCAGACGAAUGUAGCGAUGGCGGUCCGGCGGUGAAUGGAUUACUGCAGCACCGCUGGACCGCCAGUCUGGAAAUCCCUCCAGAGGUAAGAAUUCCUCGCAAUACAUUUGCAAUACCACAUAAUAGACUCUAACAAUUAAACUAUUGACACCGGUCUGAAAUCCCCAGAUGCUAAUAAUUCCAAGUAUAAUCUUCCCAGUGGUGCUAUACGUACUGACCUCGAGUCUCAUCUACCUCGAUGAGAAUCACCUGUACAGUUUCAUCACUAUAAAAUUAUCGUGAAAUCCGGAUAAUUUGGUGCUGAUGUUCUGCUCGAGAAUUGCGAACCCGGGUCAUGAAUUUUACUUAACGCAACAAUGCCCAUAAACGUCGACAUUCGAUGGAAUUUAGAUUAAUUCUCAAUGUUUAUGAACAAAUGUAACUAUUAUUUAUUCUGUGCAUAAAGGUUUUGAGGUUUUACAAUUUCGAGAAAUUAUAGGACUGCGGGGUUACGGCGACUUGCACUCAGAUAUUCAAAUUUAAGUGAAAUUUUAUGGUAAUGAAGCUGUUGUAUUGGUUUCUAUCUAAAGUUCAUUGCUGUAACAACUCAAACGAUGUGCAGAUUAUUUAUUUAAAGUGUAUUCCUAGAAUAUAUUUUUCUCGUAAUACUGUUUUU